rnacentral:rRNA from 1 species
AUCUCCCGAGUAGGCCGGAGCACGUGGAAUUCCGGUUGAAUCCGGGCCGACCAUGGUCCAAGGCUAAAUACUGAUGGCGACCGAUAGUGGAACAGUACCGAGAGGGAAAGGUGAAAAGCACCCCUGGCGGGGAGUGAAAAAGACCUGAACCCGUGUGCCUACAAUCAAUCGGAGCCGGAAGCGUACGCGAGUGCGUGGAAGGUGACGGUAUGCCUUUUGUAAAAUGAGCCGGCGAGUCAUUUUCAGUAGCGAGGUUAAGGUCCGUCUGGACUGUAGCCGCAGGGAAACCGAGUCUGAAUAGGGCGAAGAGUUUCUGGAAAUGAACCCGAAGCCGCACGAUCUAUCCAUGAGCAGGUUGAAGCCCCGGUGAAACGGGGUGGAGGACCGAACCGGUGCCUGUUGAAAAAGUCUCGGAUGACUUGUGGAUAGGAGUGAAAAGCUAAUCGAGUGCGGUGAUAGCUGGUUCUCCCCGAUAUGCAUUUAGGUGCAGCCUUAUGGAUGACAGAUGGGGGUAGAGCACUGGAUGGACGCGGGGGACUGGGGUCCUGCCAAAUUCAACCAAACUUCGAAUACCAUAAUGUUUGACCAUAGGAGUGAGACUGCGGGAGAGAAGUUUCGUAGUCGUGAGGGAAACAGCCCAGACCGUCAGCUAAGGCCCCAAAGGGUAUGCUAAGUGUGGCAAGGAUGUGGAAAUGCCCAAACAGCCAGGAGGUUGGCUUAGAAGCAGCCAUCCUUUAAAGAGUGCGUAACAGCUCACUGGUCGAGGAUUUCCGCGCCGAAAAUACAGGGGGCUAAGCAUACCGCCGAAGCUGCGGGAUUUGUACUUAUGGUAUGGAUCGGUAGGGGAGCGUUCCAUGGUGGGAGAAGUCGUACUGUGAGGUGCGGUGGACGCCAUGGAAGUGAGAAUGCCGGCAUGAGUAGCGCAAAGUAUGUGAGAAACAUACUCACCGGAAGCCCAAGGGUUCCUGGGGAAGGCUAAUCCACCCAGGGUAAGGCGGGACCUAAGGCGAGGCCGAAAGGCGUAGUCGAUGGACAGCAGGCUGAUAUUCCUGCCCCGCAGAGGAGCCGUUUGACUGAAGCAGUGACGCAGGAAGCUAGGUGGACCCGGGUGAUGGAAGUCCCGGGCCAAGGGAGUAGGCGUGCUUUGCAGGGAAAACCGCAGAGCUGAGCCGAGACCUGACGGGGAGGUUCCGUAAUGGGACUGAAGCCAUUGACGCUCGACUGCCGGGAAAAGCUGCUAGGGAGGCUUUUUUGCGCCCGUACCCGAAACCGACACAGGUGGGCUGGCUGAACAGGCUAAGGUGAGCGGGAUAACUCUCGUUAAGGAACUCUGCAAGUUGACCCCGUAACUUCGGGAGAAGGGGUGCCGCUCUGGUGAAGACAAUGCUGUUGGAGCUGAGAGCGGUCGCAGAAACCAGGCUCAGGCGACUGUUUACUAAAAACACAGGUCUCUGCAUAAGGCGCAAGCCGAAGUAUAGGGACUGACACCUGCCCGGUGCUGGAAGGUUAAAUGGAGAGGUUAGUGCAGUGAUGUGCGAAGCUUUGAAAUGAAGCCCCAGUAAACGGCGGCCGUAACUAUAACGGUCCUAAGGUAGCGAAAUUCCUUGUCGGGUAAGUUCCGACCUGCACGAAUGGUGUAACGAUCUGAGCGCUGUCUCGACGGGAGACCCGGUGAAAUUGUGGUCCUGGUAAAGACACCAGGUACCUGUGGUGGGACGGAAAGACCCCAUGGAGCUUUACUGUAGCCUGGUACUGGAUUUUGUCCUAUCAUGCACAGGAUAGGUGGGAGGCAUUGAAGCAUGUGCUUUGGCAUAUGCGGAGCCGACGUUGGGAUACCACCCUUGAUAUGAUGGAAUUCUAACCCCGAACGUCUGAAUCGGCGGGGGGGACACUGCCAGGUGGGCAGUUUGACUGGGGCGGUCGCCUCCCAAAGAGUAACGGAGGCGCGCGAAGGUCACCUCAGGGCGAAUGGAAACCGCCCAUAGAGAGCGCAAGCGUAUAAGGUGGCCUGACUGAGAGACCGACGGGUCGAUCAGGGACGAAAGUCGGUGCUAGUGAUCCGGCGGUUCCGAAUGGAAGGGCCGUCGCUCAACGGAUAAAAGCUACCCUGGGGAUAACAGGCUGAUCUUGCCCGAGAGUUCCUAUCGACGGCAAGGUUUGGCACCUCGAUGUCGGCUCGUCGCAUCCUGGGGCUGAAGCAGGUCCCAAGGGUUGGUCUGUUCGCCCAUUAAAGCGGUACGUGAGCUGGGUUUAGAACGUCGUGAGACAGUUCGGUCCCUAUCCACCA